GAGGUAAACGCGUAUCGUAAUGCACAAUGGUGCAUUAGCCAGGAGUAGACGGUCAGACGAUCUCUCCCGCGGACCGAUCGAAAUUCGGUCUAUCGAGGAGCGGAGAGUUAUUUCGAAGAAAAGCCGAACGUGUAAAAUCGGUCCAGAGGGAGGUAGCCAACGAAAAGAGGAAGAAUUCAUGUCACACGCGUAUGAUUCGAUCAAUUUCGAAAGGAUUCUGUUCCACCUUCGCUCUUUCGAGAACAAUCGAACACCCGGUAUCCAGGAGUCGAACACGCCGUCUCUUCACGCCGACCCGCAUGAUUCUAAUCGCGAACGCUUGGAAGUUUUUUUCACUUGACAUCAUUGAAGACGCAACAUCGAAGGAGUUAAGAGAAGUUGAUUGCGAAGAUUACGAGUUACAUAGAUAGAGAACUACGAAAAAAAAAAACAAAAAAAAAAUAGCAGGAACGUAUAUAUAAGUUAAACACAGUUUUCGAAUAACUCGGCGUUUGUUUAAGGAGAGAUGGCCGACAAAACUAAUUCGUCCACGAUGGAAAAGAAACGGGGAGAGACGAUCGGUAACCAGGUGAUAUCCGAGAAGGCGGUCGUCUGGAAAUCCAUGACGUUGCGCCAGAAAUGGUCUUACUUCACAAGAAACAUCACCGUGGAGCCUAUGAUAGCUUGCUACGUGAUCCCUUGCAUGCUUGCCUCCCUCGCCACGCAGAAUCUGAGCUUGGAAAAAGCGUGCAGGGUGAACUUGGCCUAUUCCGACGACGUUUGCACGGCAUUGGCCAGGAGGAACACUACCGGCUACGAGACUGAGGAAACCGCCGUGCAGCAAUUGGUAGCCGGUAUGCAGACGUGGAAAACAGCCCUGUCCAGCGGAUUGCCGACCAUCUUGAUCCUGUUCAUGGGUUCCUGGAGCGAUCGCACCGGAUUGAGGAAACCGUGCAUGCUGUUGCCCAUCGUUGGCGAGUUUCUGAGCAGCGUCAGCAUGCUGUUGUGCACGUACUUCUUCGACGAGGUGCCCAUGGAGGCCACGGGCGCGCUCGAGGCAUUUUGGCCGGCGUUGACGGGGGGCUGGUUCACAAUGUUCAUGGGUGUUUUCAGUUAUAUCGCGGAUAUCACGUCCAUCGAGUCAAGGACGCUAAGAAUCGGUGCUGCUAAUGUUUUCUUGUCGCUCGGUGUCCCGAUCGGGAUGGCUUUGUCCGGGAUAUUGUAUCUGAAGCUUGGAUUCUACGGUGUGUUCAGCAUCUCGACCGUGUGCUACGUGUUGAGUUUCAUUUACGGAUUAGUGGUGAUCAAGGAACCGCCUAAGCCGCAUCUCAAGAAAAUGGAAAAGGCGGAUAAGGAGAAGAUGUCUGUGUGCGCCUCGAUCAUCGACUUUUUCGCGUUCAAACAUAUCGAGGAGACUUUUCGCGUCGCGUUCAAACAGAGGAGGAAUAAUCGGCAGAAGAGGAUGCUGGUGCUCAUGGUCAUCGUUAUGGUUGUGAUUGGUCCACUUUAUGGUGAAAUGGCGGUUAUGUAUCUUUACAUGAGAUACAGAUAUCAUUGGAACGAAGUUAUGUUCAGUAUGUUUACCACGUUUGCCAUGGUGACAAAUUUAAUCGGAACUGCGAUAUCCGUCGGUGUGUUCAGUCAUAUUUUAAAAAUCGAUGAUGCCAUUGUUGGAAUAAUGAGUUCCAUGAGUAAAAUUUUAGCUGGCUUUGUUUACGCGUUUGCCAUAACAGACUGGAUGAUCUAUUUAGCGGCUAUCGUCGAGAUAGUAAACGGUACAUCUUUUAUAGCAAUGCGAUCGAUAGCAUCAAAACUUGUAUCGACUGGAGAACUCGGAAAAGUGAAUUCGUUGCUUGGCGUCUGCGAAUCUCUGAUGCCACUCAUCUACGGGCCAAUGUACAGUUCCAUUUAUGCUGCAACCAUGAAAACAUUUCCAGGAACGUUCUUUAUUGUUGGCGCCUGUAUGACCAUGCCAGCAGUCGCCGCGUUCUUUUGGCUGUACACCGAGCAUAGAAAAGAUCGUCAAUUACUGGAGGAAGAGAAAAAAGCGAAGAGCAAGGAAGAGGAGAAUGAUUCAAAGAUUGCAAAAUGGCAAGUUGUUAGCGAGAAAAAACCGGAAGUUCCUACGAUGAACGGUAUUGCGAAUGCAGCUUUCGAAUCAGAUCAUUUAUAACGAAUAAUUUAUUAUUACAAAAUAUGUAAUAAUAUUCGAUCAUAAUUAUAUAGAAAAACUUGAAAGAAUGAGCAAAGAAAUGGAAGAGUCACAUCUUGUAAAAAGUAAAUUAUAUCGAGAGAAAACAGCUUCUUAAUAAAUUUUUCAUUUAACGUACAAAAUAUAAGUAUGAGAAGAAAAAAAAAAAAAUAAUUAGAAAUAUAAUCGUGCACUGUAUACGUGUUUACAUGGUACACGAAUGUCUUAAAGAUGUCCAUUUUACAAUCAUUUUAUAUUUGAAAUAUCUUAAAAAUAAUCUAAUUUAAACGUCUUAAAAAUGUCUGAUAUAAAAUGUUAUGAAAGCAUUAUGAAUCUCGAAAGAUUAAAGGUUAAAGGACAACACAUUACACAGACAUUUUAAAGACGUAUCUGUCUGGAAAAGACCAAAGAAGGAAAAAGAUAAAUUAAAAUCUUAAUAAUAAAUAACGUCACCCACUUACUCAGCUUGGAAAAUAUACUUUAAAUAAAGGAUAACUUUAUUCAUUCGAUUUGAAUAAUAAAACAAAUAGGUUGGUUACGUAAUAUUUUAAAUUAAUUUUAAAUUAAUUUUACUCGAAAAUAGCAAUCCUUUAUUUCAAGUCCUAGUACAAACAGUCUCCGGUACUUAAUAAAUAAAUGGUAACAAUAGACAAUGUGGAACAGGUUUAUAUCUGUUCAAGCGUAUCAGUAUUACAAAUGCUACUUGCGUAUAUUAUUUCCAAACUAUUGAUGUUAAUGCGAUGAAGAAAAUGAGAAUACGUGAUGAGAGAAAUUCAAAAAUAAGAAAUUAUAUGCUUAUAAGGUAUAAUAUAUAUAUCAUUUCUGAAUGACCGAGACGUGAAUUUCAUCUUGUGUUCGACAUUCUUAAAUUGAUGUAAGUUUCAUAUUAACAGAAGAAAAAGAAAAUAAUAAAAUACCAUAUUAUUAUAUACGUAUCGUUUUAUUUUUUCUUUUUUUUUUUUUUUUUUCUGUUUUUCUGUAGAUUAUGCAUUUUACGAGAAAAAUCGUUACAUGAACGAUCUAAUAUAUG